GCUAGGCAUGGUGGCGUAUGCCUGUAGUCCCAGCUAUUUGGGAGGCUGAGGUCGGAGGAUCUCUUGAGCCCAGGAAGUCGAGGCUGCAGUGAGCCAUGAUCAUGCCACUGCACUCCGGCCUGGGCAACAGAAUGAGACUCUAUCUCAA
rnacentral:sRNA from 1 species